UACGUAGGCAGCAAGCGUUGUUCGGAGUUACUGGGCGUAAAGGGUGCGUAGGCGGCUUUUUAAGUUUGGUGUGAAAUCUCCCGGCUCAACCGGGAGGGUGCGCCGAAUACUGAGAGGCUAGAGUAUGGGAGAGGAAAGUGGAAUUCCUGGUGUAGCGGUGAAAUGCGUAGAUAUCAGGAGGAACACCGGUGGUGUAAACGGCUUUCUGGACCAUAACUGACGCUGAGGCACGAAAGCGUGGGUAGCAAACAGG
rnacentral:rRNA from 1 species